rnacentral:rRNA from 1 species
CUGUGCGUCAAGUCGGGGGUGAAAUUCCGGUGCUCAACACCGGGGCUGCCCUUGAUACUGUCGCGCUGGAGUGCGGAUGCCGCCGGAGGAAUGAGUGGUGUAGCGGUGAAAUGCUUAGAUAUCACUCAGAACACCGAUUGCGAAGGCAUCUGGCGAAUCCGUAACUGACGCUGAGGCACGAAAGCGUGGGGAUAGAACAGGAUUAGAUACCCCGGUAGUCCUGUCUCUUAUACAC